UUACGAUAUGAUUUGAACGUGCUUUUGGGUC
rnacentral:piRNA from 1 species